rnacentral:rRNA from 1 species
GGCAGCAGUGGGGAAUAUUGGGCAAUGGGGGGAACCCUGACCCAGCAACGCCGCGUGGAGGAAGAAGGUUUUCGGAUCGUAAACUCCUGUCCUUGGAGACGAGUAGAAGACGGUAUCCAAGGAGGAAGCCCCGGCUAACUACGUGCCAGCAGCCGCGGUAAUACGUAGGGGGCAAGCGUUGUCCGGAAUAAUUGGGCGUAAAGGGCGCGUAGGCGGCUCGGUAAGUCUGGAGUGAAAGUCCUGCUUUUAAGGUGGGAAUUGCUUUGGAUACUGUCGGGCUUGAGUGCAGGAGAGGUUAGUGGAAUUCCCAGUGUAGCGGUGAAAUGCGUAGAGAUUGGGAGGAACACCAGUGGCGAAGGCGACUAACUGGACUGUAACUGACGCUGAGGCGCGAAAGUGUGGGGAGCAAACAGGAUUAGAUACCCUGGUAGUCCACACUGUAAACGAUGAAUGCUAGGUGUAGGGGGUAUCGACCCCUUCUGUGCCGCAGUCAACACAAUAAGCAUUCCGCCUGGGGAGUACGGCCGCAAGGUUGAAACUCAAAGGAAUUGACGGGGGCCCGCACAAGCAGCGGAGCAUGUGGUUUAAUUCGACGCAACGCGAAGAACCUUACCAGGUCUUGACAUCCACUUAAACUUACAGAGAUGUAAGGUGUGCUUGCACAAAGUGAGACAGGUGGUGCAUGGUUGUCGUCAGCUCGUGUCGUGAGAUGUUGGGUUAAGUCCCGCAACGAGCGCAACCCUUAUCUUCAGUUACUAACGCGUGAGGGUGAGGACUCUGAAGAGACUGCCGGGGACAACUCGGAGGAAGGUGGGGACGACGUCAAAUCAUCAUGCCCCUUAUGACCUGGGCUACACACGUGCUACAAUGGCCACGACAGAGAGAAGCGAAAUCGCAAGGUAGAGCGGAACUCAAAAAAGUGGUCCCAGUUCGGAUUGUGGGCUGCAACCCGCCCACAUGAAGUCGGAGUUGCUAGUAAUCGCGGAUCAGCAUGCCGCGGUGAAUACGUUCCCGGGCCUUGUACACACCGCCCGUCACACCAUGGGAGUUGGGAGUGCCCAAAGCCGGUGAGGCAACCGCAAGGAGCCAGCCGUCUAAGGCAAGACCAAUGACUGGGGUGAAGUCGUAACAAGGUAGCCGUAUCGGAAGGUGCGGCUG